UUCCAUUAGAGAAGACUAAAUUAUAUUUUGUUACUUGCUAUAAGAGAUUUAUAAUUGGGGAAAAUCUUAACUGUGAAACCAUUAAUCUACAGUACAGUAUUGUAGCAUCAAAAGCAAGACGUUGCCUUCCUGUCCCCAGGACAUUCUUUGUUAGAAAAUCAUUUGUUUUACUCAAAGGAGGCCUUUUUUCUUUUAUAUUAAAGAGUUAGUCUUUUUUCCUUGUGGCUGCAUCUACUCUCAGGAGAUUCUGAUGAAGCAGUUCGGUUCAGAAGAGUUUGUAGCAGAGCGUCAGUUUGCAGGGAGAAACCUUUAGGCGUGCUGGGGGUCUGGCAGUCAAUCGCCGCCGCUCGGCUGGAGGAAACGAGGUGAGGCUUUUCCCAGAGUACCAAGGCAAAGACUUUACCUCCGUGCUCGUACCCCCUCGCUCCAAGUACCACUUCUGUGGAUCUCCCGGGAGCAGCCGUUUCUGCUCGACAGAAGCCUGGGAAGGCCGGUCCGAAAGGCGAACAGGGAGCCGUAGUCCUGUAGGGAAGGGGGCUCAUCGCUGCGCUCCAUUAAUAAGAGUGAAAACUGCUGCAUGGGAGCCUUCGAAAAGCAACAUGCACCUUCUACAAGGUUACGUCGGAGUGAAAUAAACCACUGGAGUUAUCCCAAUAAAUUAUAGUAAUGGUGCCUGGCA
rnacentral:lncRNA from 1 species